rnacentral:rRNA from 1 species
CCUACGGGUAGCUGCAGUGGGGAAUAUUGCACAAUGGGGGAAACCCUGAUGCAGCGACGCCGCGUGAGUGAAGAAGUAUUUCGGUAUGUAAAGCUCUAUCAGCAGGAACGAGACAAGACGGUACCUGACGAAGAAGCACCGGCUAACUACGUGCCAGCAGCCGCGGUAAUACGUAGGGGGCAAGCGUGAUCCGGAAUCACGGGGUGGAAAGGGAGCGUAGACGGCUGUGCAAGCCUGAAGUGAAAGGCGGGGGCCCAACCCCGGGACUGCUUGGGGAACUGUACGGCUGGAGUGCAGGAGAGGUAAGUGGAAUUCCUAGUGUAGCGGUGAAAUGCGUAGAUAUUAGGAGGAACACCAGUGGCGAAGGCGGCUUACUGGACUGUAACUGACGUUGAGGCUCGAAAGCGUGGGGAGCAAACAGGAUUAGAUACCCUUGUAGUC